CGACAACAAACAGGACGCCUGUUUGAUCGCGGUCACUUUCUUCCAAGGGCUCCCAAAGUCCGGCUCAGAUAUGUUGGACUUCAGCCUUCAGAUCAACUUACCAUGUAAACAACAACAACAACAACAACAACAACAACAACAACAAUAAUAAUAAUAAUAAACGUUAUUUAUAUUCCGUUCUGUCUCACCGAGGGGACUCAGA
rnacentral:lncRNA from 11 species